rnacentral:lncRNA from 1 species
AUGGUCGGGGCCGGCUCCCUCCAACCCCGGCUCUGCAGCCGGCUCCGGGCGAUCACGCAACACAAAUGGCCUUUAACGCUCCCCGAAACCGAACAUUUCCCUCUAAUCCUGCGAAGAAAAGAGUCGCCGGGUUGGCAGUUUAGUAAGAAAGGGAGCGCAUUGGGGCAGAUAUGCUCAUUAACGUGCCGGCCUCUCCCCUCCCCUGCCCGCUUCCUGUGCCUGGCCCCUUCCCCGCUGCCGCUCUCCCUCCCCGCACGCCGGGCUGCGGCACUUCCCUCCAUUUUCCCCCCCGUUUCCUUUUCUGCCCUCCCUGCCCCGCUCCCCGCCGAACCGCCGCAGCCCUUUUGUGCCCCCUCCCUGCCCCCCUCCCCCCGCCCCGUGCUCCAUUGCCCCUUUGCAUUCCGUAAAAGCUCGCUUGAAAGAAAAGAAACAAAACAAAACAAAAAACCACAAACCGGCCCCUCCUCUCCCAGCGAAGACCAGGCCUGGGAAGUCUCCUGGGCAGCCACCAUCACGGCCAGCCGCUGCUCCAGCCGCUCGAGGCUCGUUACCAUGCUCAUCGCGGUGCCCGGUGCCGGCGGGCAGGGCAGGCGGUGGCCCCCGGGUCCCCUCGGUACGGAGCGGCUACUGCAUCCCCGCUGCCCUGCACAAAGGGAACGGAGUGAUGACAAUGACACCUCGCUGUCCCCGUCUCCCACCCGCCCUUCCCAGCGCGGGGACAACCCGACGCUUCUUUACGGUUCGGGGAAAGGCAGGAAUGGAAAUCCUCCUGCGGGGCAGCGAUUUCAAACACCGCGGUUCUCCUCUUCAGGCUACAGCAUCCCAGUGUCCCCUGACCCCUCGCCCCAAGGGUGUCACCGCAGCCCCCGGCACUGUGUUGCCGCACCGCAGGGACACCCCCCCGCAGCCUCUCUCCCCGGGAUCUCCCCGGGCCCGGCGGCAGGAGGACGAGGAGGAGGAGGAGGUGUUUCCCACGCACCCCCCGGCGGCUGCCCCGCAGCUGAGCGCACCCCGGCUCCGGCCGCCCGCUGCCCUCCGUGCGCAGCUCGAGGGAUGACUUCACGCUUCAGGCACCACCGGGAGCCGCUCUCCUGCGGAAAGAGAGAAAGAAGAUGGACUGACACAUCGUCGGCCCACGGAGAGGAAAACAAAGGUGUUUAUACCGAGUACGGCCAAUGCCACCGCGGGCUCCCGGAAACCCUCCCGUCCGCCCCAGUGCCCGCGGGGUUGAUGACUGAAGCAUCCCCGGACCCUCCCAGCCCCGAAGGCAUCACUUGUCGCUUCGCCGUCGGGAACGCGGGGCCCCGUGGCUUUGCCGUGGUCUGCCGUCCCUCGGCCGUCCCGGCAUCGCGGGAGAAGCCCAGCGCCCGCCCCCUCCGUGACAGCCCCGGCCGGGCCCCGCGGAGCGCAGCGCCGAGGCGAGCACUUGGAAAGGCUGCAGUGGGGACGAGAAAACAGUCCGCACGUCCCCUGCCCCAGACAAAGCAUCCCGAGUCCACGUGGGGUAUAAUCUUCUCUGCUCCCUUGUUAUUGCUGCUGGGUACAGCAGAAAACUGGAUAUCAGGAAGGAGAGGGAAUAUUGUUAGCCUGCUGCGAUGGAAAUAA